ACGGGGGCAGCAGUGGGGGAUAUUGCACAAUGGGGGAAACCCUGAUGCAGCGACGCCGCGUGAGUGAUGAAGUAUUUCGGUAUGUAAAGCUCUAUCAGCAGGGAAGAAAAUGACGGUACCUGACUAAGAAGCUCCGGCUAAAUACGUGCCAGCAGCCGCGGUAAUACGUAUGGAGCAAGCGUUAUCCGGAUUUACUGGGUGUAAAGGGAGCGUAGACGGUGAAGCAAGUCUGAAGUGAAAGCCCGGGGCUCAACCCCGGAACUGCUUUGGAAACUGUUUGACUAGAGUGUCGGAGAGGUAAGUGGAAUUCCUAGUGUAGCGGUGAAAUGCGUAGAUAUUAGGAGGAACACCAGUGGCGAAGGCGGCUUACUGGACGAUAACUGACGUUGAGGCUCGAAAGCGUGGGGAGCAAACAGGAUUAGAUACCCUGGUA
rnacentral:rRNA from 1 species